AUUCUAUUGGCUAGUUUUGUCUAUUUUCACACAUUGUAUUUUUAUUACAGGCCAUAGGACUCAUCUUCCUGUUGGCACUGAGCAGCUUCCUCAUCUCCAGAGCCUUUUGGACACUACACCACAGAGCAUCUCUUCAUCUCAUACUGUCUGCACAGAGAGCUACGCCACAGCCAGAUCUGGAGACACCAGCACUACAAACACCUCUGUGUCCAGCAUCCUGCGGUCUCCAGCGAUAAAAGAUGCAUCUAAGCCGGAAACAGACUCUCCUUCCAGCGCAAAUGCAGAGUUCACCACUGCCAGCUCUGGAGCCAGACAGACCACCGAGAGUAGCCAAGGAACAAAUGAAGAGACGGAGCAGCCUGUUGAACGUAGGCAUUUACAAUUUAUCGCUGUACACCUUUUUCAUACGUCCCAUAAAGCAUUUUGUGGGAGUAACUGUAAAGAUUUUAAAAAGCAUGUAAUUCGAAUUAACAAUUCACCUUUAGUUGGCCAAAGGGUCUUUCUGAAAUGUUUUGGACGAACAAAAAAGUGAAUCAAA
rnacentral:lncRNA from 1 species